GCUGGAGGGAGGUGUGGGACAGGAGGGCUGACGGCUACGCUGCCUUCAUCAUGAGAACUAAGUGUUUUCAGGGACUCAGAUGUACAGACUGCAGCAGUAGCUGAUAAGGAAACAGUCGGCCUCUGUCUCCUCUUCACCAGUUCCUGCCUCAAGUGCACCUGAUGAAGACACCAGUAGGUCUUCUUCAUCACAUUCGUCACAUGCUUUUUACCACAAUAAUGUAUGUCUAAUGUAGAAAUACAUUUCUGUCCGGUUGUUGUUCUGUCCUUGUAGUCCCACCGUGCCGACAGUGAAGAGACCUGUAACCAUUCCUCCUGAGCUGCAGGUUCUGGUGACAGAGGUUGCUCAUCCCAACAAACUGAGUUCUUUCAGCGUGAACUUCAGCUAACCGAGCGCAGAGUGGAAGACAGAGCGGAAAAGAAACUGCCGGACCCUCAGCCUCGAGGAACAAUGUGUCGUUUCUGUCACACAGAGCUGAAGCAGGGUCCAGACACACACACACACAGACACACACACACACACAGACACACUCAGGAUUCCCGGGGGGGAAACACAUUCACUGUCCAGCUAAGGUCCUUGCGUCAUAAAGACAUGACAAAGGAAAUGACGUGGAAAGAAUUUGAGGCCUCACCGUUCUAUGCGAUGGAGAAAGAGAGGGUGGACGGCAGAAAGAAAAAGAUAGCUGAGGUCAUACAGACUCAUGAAGCACAGAAAGUCACACAAGCAGCCACCUCACUGUUGGCGGAUGAGUCAGUGAGCGUGAUGGAUCAAACUCCGUCUCUGACACCAAUACCGAGACCGGCAGAGCCAAGCCAAGAGUCCUCAUGUGUCCGGAGCGGAGUCACAAGACGCAUAAGCCCGGACUGCAAAGUGAAAAACUAUAGAACCCUUAGGGUUAGAAUAAAAAAUAUAUAAGUAAUUAUUUAAAUUCAAUAUUUACCAGUGUGUUUGAAAUUCAACCGGGCUUCAGCCACACAUUUUUAUGUCAUUCAUUAUUCAAAAUGUAUGAUACAAUAUGUCGAAGAUACAAAGAAUACAAUUCGAACAAGAAUUUGGCAACAUAAGUUUAAUACUCUGACCAAAAAAGGAAAUUGAGACCACUGGUAGAUUACUUCCUGGUAUAUGGCUGGCCAGCCGAACGCGUGUCAGGACUCCAACACAAUUCCUCUUGGACAGACGCAGGAAGGAAAAAAGCAGAGAAGAAAAGGAAUUGAGUCCUUAAAAACUAUGGAACCAGUAGGACUUAACCCUCCCGCUGAGGCUCUGACGGCUAGGUGCAUAGGAAUGGGAGGAUGAUUCGGGGACACGUAGACCCACCGAGGGCAGCGGGAGGGUUAAGAUAUGAAUGGGGCCUGACCAUGAAGAGCUUAUUUUGGGGCUUACUUAUUGGGGCAACCUGAUAAUAAAGAGUUGCAGUAAUCCAGCCUUGAAGUAACAAAUGCAUGGAUUAGUUUUUCUGCAUCUGUCUGUGAUAGGAUGUGUCUAAUUUUUCUAAUAUUACGUAAAUGAAAGAAGGCAGUCCUAGAGGUCUGCUUUAUGUGGGAGUUAAAUGACAAAUCCUGAUCAAAGAUAACUCCAAGAUUCCUGACAGUGGUGCUAGAGGCCAAGUUAAUGCCAUCUAGAGUAACUAUAUCUUCAGACAGUGAGUCUCUAAGGUUUUUGGGGCCAAGAACAAGAAUUUCGUUUUUUUCUGAGUUUAACAUCAGAAAAUUGCUUUAGUGUCCACAUGAGUCCACAUGAGUCCCUCGUCCUCCACCCGCUGCUGCUCUCGC
rnacentral:lncRNA from 15 species